GAAGAAUUUGAAAUGUCUGAGCUAGACUCAUUUUUUUUUAGGGCUUAAAAUCUGAAUCCACAGUGAAGCAGGGGAGGAAAGAACGAUGAAGUCCUCAAGAGUUUUACUAGUGAUCCUGUGGCUUCAGUUAACCUGGAUGAGGAGUCAACAGAAGGGAGUGGAGCAGAGUCCUGGAUCUCUGAGCGUUCUGGAGGGAGCCACGGCCUCUCUCAACUGCAAUUAUAGUGACAGUGCUUCCCAGUACUUCAUGUGGUACAGACAGUAUUCCGGGAAGGGUCCCAAGUUGCUGAUGUACAUGUACUCCAAAGGUGACAAGAAGGAAGGAAGAUUUUGGGGGCAGGUCGAUAGAGCAAAACAAUACGUCUCCCUGCUCAUCAGAGACUCCCAGCCCAGCGACUCAGCCACCUACCUCUGUGCAGUAAGCACACAGUUGUCUCCUGGCACCUGCUGUCUGCACCCAAACCCACUAGGGCCCCAGCAAUGCCUGAUAUAG